AACCCAUGUUGAGGACAUUUCCAAAAAAUCUCCUUGAACCUAUCACAUGUCUCAAAUAGAGACUCCAAUUCCGUUUGCACAAAAGAGGAUAUUUCAUUCCUAAGCUU